GAUGAACGCUGGCGGCGUGCCUAAUACAUGCAAGUCGAGCGAACAGAUGAGAAGCUUGCUUCUCUGAUGUUAGCGGCGGACGGGUGAGUAACACGUGGGUAACCUACCUAUAAGACUGGGAUAACUCCGGGAAACCGGGGCUAAUACCGGAUAAUAUUUUGAACCGCAUGGUUCAAUAGUGAAAGACGGUUUCGGCUGUCACUUAUAGAUGGACCCGCGCCGUAUUAGCUAGUUGGUAAGGUAACGGCUUACCAAGGCGACGAUACGUAGCCGACCUGAGAGGGUGAUCGGCCACACUGGAACUGAUACACGGUCCAGACGCCUACGGGAGGCAGCAGUAGGGAAUCUUCCGCAAUGGGCGAAAGCCUGACGGAGCAACGCCGCGUGAGUGAUGAAGGUCUUCGGAUCGUAAAACUCUGUUGUUAGGGAAGAACAAAUUUGUUAGUAACUGAACAAGUCUUGACGGUACCUAACCAGAAAGCCACGGCUAACUACGUGCCAGCAGCCGCUGUAA
rnacentral:rRNA from 1 species